AACGAACGCUGGCGGCAUGCCUAACACAUGCAAGUCGAACGAGACCUUCGGGUCUAGUUGCGCACGGGUGCGUAACGCGUGGGAACCUGCCCUUAGGUUCGGAAUAACUCCCCGACAGGGGUGCUAAUACCGGAUAAUUUCUUCGGACACAAGAUUUAUCGCCUUUGGAUGGGCCCGCGUUGGUUUAGCUAGUUGGCAGGGUAAAAGCCUACCAAGGCGACGAUCCAUAGCUGGUCUGAGAGGAUGCUCAGCCACACUGGGACUGAGACACGGCCCAGACUCCUACGGGAGGCAGCAGUGGGGAAUAUUGGACAAUGGGCGAAAGCCUGAUCCAGCAAGGCCGCGUGAGUGAUGAAGGCCUUAGGGUUGUAAAGCUCUUUUACCCGGGAUGAUAAUGACAGUACCGGGAGAAUAAGCACCGGCUAACUCCGUG
rnacentral:rRNA from 1 species